UACGUAGGGUGCGAGCGUUAGUCGGAAUUACUGGGCGUAAAGUGUGCGCAGGCGGCGCCGCAAGUCGAGUGUGAAAGCCCCGAGUUUAACUUGGGAAUUGCGCUCGAAACUAUGGUGCUGGAGUGUGGCAGAGGAAGGUGGAAUUCCACGUGUAGCGGUGAAAUGCGUAGAGAUGUGGAGGAACACCGAUGGCGAAGGCAGCCUUCUGGGCCAACACUGACGCUCAUGCACGAAAGCGUGGGGAGCAAACAGG
rnacentral:rRNA from 1 species